UGCCGUAAGGCAGCCCCUCGCGCCGUCGCGACUCUGCCGUGCGCCGCGGGAGCGGGCGGGGGACAGCCAUGGCGGCUUUACGGCCCGGGAGGAAGACCCUUCUCCCUGUUCUCUGCCGCACCUUCACAGGCCGCGGCUGUCAGCUCGCCCCCGAGCGCGGCACCGAGCGCAGGGAUGUGGCGCCCAGCCGGAUCUCAAGAUUCUGCCCUCCGAGAAAAUCUUGCCAUGAUUGGAUAGGACCCCCAGAUAAAUAUUCAAACCUUCGACCUGUUCACUUUUACAUCCCUGAAAAUGAAUCACCAUUAGAACAAAAGCUGAGAGAAUUAAGACAAGAAACACAAGAAUGGAACCAACAGUUCUGGGCAAACCAGAAUUUGACUUUUCAUAAGGAAAAAGAAGAGUUUAUUCACUCAAGACUAAAAGCUAAAGGCCCGGGACUGAGAGCUGAAUCAGGUCAAAAAGCAACACUGAAUGCAGAAGAAAUGGCUGACUUUUACAAAGAAUUUUUAAGUAAAAAUUUUCGGAAGCACAUGUGUUAUAACAGGUGUCAGCCUCGUGGUACUGAGUGCACUGUCUCAUCCCGUACAGCUGGAGAAGCCCAAUGCAUCUUGUGGGCCCCGGCCCCGGGCCACCUGCUGUUCCAGCUGUACGCUGCCCGCACGCACCUGAAGCUGGCGGGCGGGUAAGUGGGAACAGAUCGUAAUCCACAUUCAUUCAUCCGACAAAUACUGAGUGCCUGUCUGUGCCAGGCACCGGGCUGCGAGACUGAGGAUUUCCUGUUGCUGCCCCUGCAGGGCUUACAGAUGAGCAGGAUUCAAGGUUAGUCGUAGAUUUUAAUUAUAUUCUUUCAACUGCAGAAGCGUCUCCUUCAAAUGUACAGCAAUUCCUUCUAAGUGCUGGUUAAUUAAAGUAUUUUCUUGCUAGUAUCACAAAGAAAGGAAGCAGUACCAUAAAACUGAGAGCCACGUUUCACAGCAGGAGCUUCAGGUUGGGGUGUGCAGACAACAUGCGGGUCCUUCUCAGGGCACUGCCCCCCGCAUCUUCCGUCUGCUCGCUACAGAAGGCGCCUCCCGUACCCCGUCCCCAUCCUGACCUCUCCAGGCCUCAGGUGCAGCCUGCAGCGCCCUUACCCCUGGUCAGCUGGCAGACUUGCUCAUGCUAGAAGGCUUGGCUCCCCAGGGAAACGUCCCAGGAUCUCUGGCCUUCUGGAGCACCAUCCUCCAAAAAGAGGCCCACAACUCGUGGCCUAAGGAACUUGGAGCACUCCAGGAGGACCCGGCCCUCGCCUUUGUUCAGGACAUUGCCCUCAGCCUGCAGGAGCAGCAGAGGGUUUACAGGCCAGUCCUGGAGCUGGCCUGUCACUCGCUCACCUUCCCUGGAAGCACCCUUGAACCUGAGCCUUGGCGAGCUGGGUCAGCCGGGGGUGCUGGUGGACAGCUGGACGGCCGGCCACCUCUUGCCGGAAGGCCCAUCUCCGUGACAUCCUACUUAGGAAGCCUGAAGCCUGUGCAGGGCACCCUCCUUUCAGAGUGGAUGAGCCUCACCUCAGAGAUGCCAUGAGGCUCAGAGGCCAACUAGGAUGAAGACUAAGUGUGUGUGUGGUAAAAUACACAUAACAUUAAAUUUACCAUUUUUAAGUGAA